rnacentral:lncRNA from 1 species
GGGCUAGGGGUUCCAUUGAGGCACCUGAUCUCGGCCUUCUAUUGGAUGUCAUCAGAGUUCCCCUUUCUUCUGCCAUUGAUAUCUCAUCAAGACCAACCAAUUGCUGGCAAACAGUGGAUGGAAGGAGAUUUCAGGUGGAUGGCCAUCAAUUGUGGAGUGGAUGAUCGGUCAUUGGUGGAGAAUCACCCAAGAGGGGUUCAUCGGUCAUGGCAUUUCACCCCGCUUAGUUGUAAUUGGGAA